UACGGGGGGGGGCAAGCGUUGUUCGGAAUUACUGGGCGUAAAGGGCUCGUAGGCGGCCAACUAAGUCGGAUGUGAAAUCCCCAAGCUUAACUUGGGAACUGCAUCCGAUACUGGAUGGCUUGAAUCCGGGAGAGGGAUGCAGAAUUCCAGGUGUAGCGGUGAAAUGCGUAGAUAUCUGGAGGAAUACCGGUGGCGAAGGCGGCAUCCUGGACCGGCAUUGACGCUGAUGAGCGAAAGCUAGGGGAGCAAACGGGG
rnacentral:rRNA from 1 species